ACUUAAAUAAUUUAAUAUAAAAAUAUUGAUUUGUGGAUUCAAAAAUAUGAAUAAAAUCAUUUUAAGUU
rnacentral:tRNA from 1 species